AUGAACGCUAGCGGCAGGCUUAACACAUGCAAGUCGAGGGGUAUAGGGAGCUUGCUUCCUAGAGACCGGCGCACGGGUGCGUAACGCGUAUGCAAUCUACCUUUGCAGAGGGAUAGCCCAGAGAAAUUUGGAUUAAUACCUCAUAGUAUGUGAGAAUGGCAUCAUUUCACAUUAAAGUCACAACGGCAAAAGAUGAGCAUGCGUCCCAUUAGCUUGUUGGUAAGGUAACGGCUUACCAAGGCUACGAUGGGUAGGGGUCCUGAGAGGGAGAUCCCCCACACUGGUACUGAGACACGGACCAGACUCCUACGGGAGGCAGCAGUGAGGAAUAUUGGACAAUGGGCGCAAGCCUGAUCCAGCCAUGCCGCGUGCAGGAUGACGGUCCUAUGGAUUGUAAACUGCUUUUAUACAGGAAGAAACACUCCGACGUGUCGGAGCUUGACGGUACUGUAAGAAUAAGGAUCGGCUAACUCCGUG
rnacentral:rRNA from 1 species